AUGAGCAGCCACCGCAAGAACUUCCGCCGCCGCGCGGACGACGACGACGACGGGGGCAAGGCCGACGACGCCGGCCCCGCGACCAGGCCCUCCGCCAAGGCCCAGCCCCCGCCCGCGCCUCCCAGGCCCAGGCCGCAGGGCGCGAGCCGCCUCAGCUUCGCCGACGACGAGGAGGACGAGGACGACGCCGAGGAGGGGCCCUUCGCGCAGCAGCGGAGCCGCCGCCCGUCCGCCACGGUGCGGCAGACACGCACGGCCUCCCCGGCCGCCACGGCCCUCCACCGCGUCACGCCCGCCAGGGACCGGGCGAGGAGCUCUCCGGCCGUCGCGGCGGCGGCGGCCGCUCCAGCGCCCAAGCCAUCCAACUUCCAGAGCCAUGCUGGCGAGUACACCCCCGAACGCCUCCGGGAGCUCCAGAAGAACGCGCGCCCGCUCCCUGGGAGCCUCCUGCGCGCUCCGGCGCCUCCUCCUCCCCCUCCUCCGGCGGCGGCUGAGUCCCGGCAUCAGCGGCUGGCUGGAGCUGCGGCCAGCACCUCGUCUGCUCCCGCCACUGCCGGUAAAGCACUUCCCGCGGAGCCAGUGGUUGUUCUCAAAGGUCUGGUGAAACCUAUGGCACAUGCCAGCAUAGGACCAUCACGGAGACCGUUGCCGAACGAGGUUGAAGAUGAUGAUUCUGAAGUGGAGGCGGAGGAUGAUGGGGAAGAUGAGGAGAAAGGGCCGCUGAUACCUGAUAAGGCGACGAUCGAAGCCAUCCGGGCAAAGCGGCAGCAACUGCAACAGCCGAGGCAUGCGGCGCCCGAUUUCAUCUCCCUUGAUGGUGGCGGUGUGCUCAGCAGCAGGAGGGAUGCGGCUGGCGGGUCCAGUGAUGAAGACGACAACGAGAUGGAGGGUAGGAUUGCCAUGUACUCUGAGAAGACGAGUGAUGGCCACAGGAGCUCAAAAGGAGUGUUUCAGGGGAUCAAUAAUAGGGGCCCUGCUGCCAGUUUGGGGGCUAUGAAAGAUAGGUUUAUGGAGGUUGAGGAUGAUGAGGUUGAUGAUGAAGAGGAGGAAGAAAGGAAGUGGGAGGAGGCACAGGUCAAAAAGGCGCUUGGUAAUAGGAUGGACGAUUCUUCUGCUCAGAGAGCAACCAACGGUGUUUCGGCUGCGAGGCAGCAGGUUCAGCCGCAGCCAUCUGGAUACUCGGGAGGUCCUCAUUAUCAGCCCUCCUUUAGCGGGGUUGUGCCUGGGGCAUCUGUUUUUGCAUCGGGUAGUGCAGAGUUCUUGUCCAUCUCUCAGCAAGCUGAUGUAGCAAGCAAAGCCCUGCAGGAGAACAUCAGAAAGCUCAAGGAAAGCCACAAGACAACAGUUGAUUCUUUAGCGAGGACCGACGCACAUCUUAAUGAAGCGCUUUCAGAGAUUUCCAGCCUGGAGGGUGGCUUGCAGGAUGCAGAGAAGAAGUUUGUGUACAUGCAGGAGCUCCGGAACUAUAUUUCUGUCAUGUGUGAUUUCUUGAAUGAUAAGGCAUUCUUCAUAGAGGAGCUGGAGGAGCACAUGCAGAAAUUGCAUGAGAAUCGGGCACUGGCUGUUUCAGAGAGACGGGCUGCCGACUUUGCUGAUGAAUCGGGCGUGAUCGAAGCUGCGGUGAGUGCAGCAAUAUCUGUUCUUAGCAAAGGACCAAGCUCAGCUAACCUGUCUGCUGCAUCGCAUGCUGCACAAGCAGCAGCAACUGCUGCCAGGGAAAGCGCUAACCUACCACCGGAGCUGGAUGAGUUUGGCAGAGAUAUCAAUCUCCAGAAGCGUAUGGAUCUUAAGCGAAGGGAAGAGAACAGGAGGCGAAGAAAAGCUCGGUCCGAAUCCAAAAGAUUGUCUUCUGCACGGAAGAGUGCUACUGAGCACAUUGAAGGUGAGCUAAGCACUGAUGAGAGUGACACCGACACCAGUGCUUAUCUGUCCAGCCGUGAUGAGUUGCUCAAGACUGCUGAUGCUGUAUUCAGUGAUGCUGCAGAGGAAUACUCGAGCCUUACAAUUGUCAAGGACAAGUUUGAAGGCUGGAAAACACAAUAUCCUUUGGCCUACCGAGAUGCUCAUGUGUCACUAAGUGUGCCAUCUGUGUUUACCCCGUAUGUGAGGCUGGAGCUUCUGAAUUGGGAUCCUCUCCAUGAAACAACUAGUUUCUUUGACAUGCAGUGGACUAACGUUCUUGUGGGUUAUGGAGUGCAAGAUGAAGAUAGUGCUGACCCUACUGAUCUAGAUCUGAACCUCAUUCAAGUUCUAGCAGAAAAGGUGGCCCUUCCUGUCCUGCACCACCGUAUUAAGCACUGCUGGGACAUUCUGAGCACUCAAAGAACACAGCAUGCUGUAGAUGCAACUUUUAUGGUGAUUAACUAUGUGCCGCUAACAAGCAAGCCUUUGCAUCAACUGCUGGCUACGGUGUGUAGUCGUCUGACUGAGGCAAUUGCUGACGUGUCAGUACCAGCUUGGGGAUCAAUGCUGACAAGGGUUGUGCCAGGUGCUGCUGAGUAUGCUGCAUACAGAUUCGGAGUGGCCACACGGCUGCUUAAAAAUGUGUGUCUGUGGAAAAAGGUCCUUGCAGGUGAUGCCCUGGAGAAACUUGCUCUAGAAGAACUAUUGAUAGGAAAGAUUCUUCCUCAUAUGAAAAGUAUCAUUCUGGAAGUCCAUGAUGCGAUCACAAGGGCCGAACGGAUAGCUGCAUCACUUUCAGGAGUCUGGUCUUCACCAAACAAGAAGCUGCAGCCUUUCACAGAUUUCGUGUUGGAACUAUCAAACAAGCUCAAGAGUAGACACGUUUCAGGCGUUAGUGAAGAAGAGAUACGUGGGCUGGCUCGUCGUUUGAAGAACAUAUUGGUGGCGCUGAACGAGUACGAUAAGGCUAGAAAUAUUUUGAAGACCUUCCAAAUCAGAGAAGCUCUCUAG
rnacentral:rRNA from 1 species